CCCUUAGAUGUCCGGGGCCGCACGCGCGCUACACUGAAGGAAUCAGCGUGGCUUUCUCCCUGACCCGAAAGGGUUGGGAAACCCGUUGAAUCUCCUUCGUGAUAGGGAUUGGGGCUUGAAAUUGUUCCCCAUGAACGAGGAAUUCCCAGUAAGCGCGAGUCAUAAGCUCGCGUUGAUUACGUCCCUGCCCUUUGUACACACCGCCCGUCGCUACUACCGAUUGAACGGUUUAGUGAGGGGCUCGGAUUGGUCUCGGCCCGCUCUUUACCGGGCGGCGCCGUUGGUCGAGAAGACGCUCGAACUUGAUCGUUUAGAGGAAGUAAAAGUCGUAACA
rnacentral:rRNA from 1 species